CUUCUGACUUCAACUGUAUGUGCACAUUACUUAUUGGAAGAUCCUCUGAAAACGUACAAAGUUUUUUUUAUGUAGGUUGUGCUGCCAUCCUGCUAGAAGGUAACAGAUUAUUUUAUGAUUUCAAUGGAUUUAAAUGGAUACAACGGUUUAAAUGGAUUUUCAUUGUGUUCCAUUGUGUUUUUCGCCCCCUAGUGGAGCUUUCUGGUACUUAGACUGUAAGGAAAACAGGAAGAGACAUGCAGAAGGAAACAGGAGGAGACGCCGAGAAGCAGCUAAAAAACGCAACGGUGCAGGUCUUUCAGUGCAGAUCUCUCGUCACGCUUCAGCCUCGUAAAAUAUUUGUUUACUCUGAACUGCAGGUUUCCCAGGUGCUUUGCCACAUCGAUCAGCGCUCCUGAAACCCUCUCUGGAUCUGGCAGUGUACACUGGGCUCUGGAAGAACAUUCAGGAGUCAGUGUUGCUGUGGGGUUUGAUACAGAACCACAGAGAAGAGAGAGACAUAAUAGUCCCAUUACCUUUUCACUGUAUCCUUGUAGUUCUGUAGGGAAACAAAAUAACAUGUUAAUAGAUGUAUUGAUCUUAGAAAAUCAAUUACUACAAUAUUUAUUUCAUAAUUGAUACGGCAGUUGAUUUAUCAGAGGUAGAUUAGUCCUUACCUGCAGGAAUGAGAUGUCCUCAGCUCCCAGCUCUUCUUCUAUGGUUCUGAUUGUGUCUGAAAGUGAUGAUAUCUCUCUGCUCAUCUUCUCAAUCUUCUUCUUCAUCAUCUGACUCUUCUGCUCCUCUUCCUCCUUCAGUUCAGCUAUCCUGGCUCUCUCUUCCUCAUGUAGAAACUGAUGAAGCUUCUCAAACCCCAUCUUAAUCAGCCUCUCUGUGUGCUGGGCCUGGCUCUGGAGACAGUAGAGAGGAAUGUCAAAAAUGUAAAUAAUUGAUUAUCCAUAAUUCCACAGGGUUAUGAUGAAUCUUCACAGUAUCAUUGUAUUUGAGCUUCACUCUGUAUUCUUACUUUGAUGUGGUUGGCUGUUUUAUGACAGAUCAGUUUAACUUCUCCAAAGACCUUAAAUUUCUCCUGUAAGGGCUCCAGUGAAGUCUUGAGUUCUUCCUGAUAUGAACCAACAUUAUUAAGAUAAAGGAGUGGAUUGGCACACAGAUCUUUAUUUACGUGACUAUAUGUACAUGCUGUAGGUCAAGUAGCGUUAAAUACAUCUCCUACCUUAUGAUCCAGUACAGCUUCAUCUAUUGGGCAGCAGUCAUGGCUUUUAUGCUUUUUUGAAGUUUGACACACAAAACAGAUGGGCUGUUUAUCCUCCAGACAGAAGAGCUUGAGUUUCUCACUGUGUUGACUGCAGAGCACCUCAGACCCUGCUGAAGCUCUCUGACUUCUAUCGUACUGGACAUUCCCGAGAUGCCUUCUGUUUCCAGUAUUCCUCCAGACAGGCUUUACAGAAGCUGUGGCUACACAACAGGACCACAGGAUCCUUGAAGAUGUCACAGCAUACUGGACAGGAGAAAUCAUCCUCGGAGAGAGAAGCUUUAGAGGCCAUGGCUCACUGCUUAUCUCUCUGUUAUGGCUUUUGAAUUGAAGGUUUAGUUUCACUUUUGACAACUCUUUUGAUGAAUGUUUACUCUUGAAAAGUUAACUGAACUCAGAAAUCUGUUUUACCUGCCGUUAUUCCUUAGUCUUGAAUCGUUGUUUUGAUUGUUUACAAAUAUUAUUGGUCAUCCUAUAUGUCAUAUCAGUUUAGCUGAAUGCUGAAUAGCUGAAUGUUACAGCGCUGUUCUGUUGUGA